CCUACGGGCGGCAGCAGUGAGGAAUAUUGGUCAAUGGCCGUAAGGCUGAACCAGCCAAGUCGCGUGAAGGAAGAAGGAUCUAUGGAUUGUAAACUUCUUUUAUAGGGGAAUAAAUGGAUCCACGUGUGGAAGUUUGCAUGUACCCUAUGAAUAAGCAUCGGCUAACUACGUGCCAGCAGCCGCGGUAAUACGGAGGAUGCGAGCGUUAUCCGGAUUUAUUGGGUUUAAAGGGUGCGUAGGUUGUUUUUUAAGUCAGCGGUGAAAGUUUGUGGCUCAACCAUAAAAUUGCAGUUGAAACUGGCAGACUUGAGUGCAGGUGAGGUAGGCGGAAUGCGUGGUGUAGCGGUGAAAUGCUUAGAUAUCACGAAGAACUCCGAUUGUGAAGGCAGCUUACUGGACUGUAACUGACACUGAGGCUCGAAAGCGUGGGGAUCAAACAGGAUUAGAUACCCGGGUAGUC
rnacentral:rRNA from 1 species